rnacentral:lncRNA from 10 species
CUUUUAGCAAGAUCUUGUAAUAGAAACGUCAUCAGGAACUGAAUCAUUGUAAAGACAUGUUACUGGACCUGGCUCUUGGUAGACCCUAAAAUUUAGUGAGAAGAAAGUAAUUCUAGUGGAUUACUCAGAAGAGCCCUACAACCAUACUGAGAAUUUAGCCCUGGGGACAUCUUCCGAUAUAAUCUGGCAUAGAAGAGUGGUUAUCACACCUUUAGCAUGGGACCCUUGAGACACCUUUGCUGUGAAUAAUGGAGAAGCAAAAGGAGUUACUAAUGAAGACAAACUAAACCUGAGAACAGAGAGAGCCUAACUAUGUGCUCCAGAAGUGCCAUGUGUGUCUAAGGUGUCACAGCUCAGUGCCAAGAGAGACCUCCUUAGCCCGUUUCUCCCAUAAAGGAAAGUGAGAGUAUAGUAAAUAAACUGUCAGUUCCCUGGCUGUGUGAGAUGCUGCCCAAUAGCCCCACCUCUUUUUUGUCUUACCCAAAUUACUGAGGUGAUCGGCACAGGUGAGAGAUUGGGAGAGGGUAGAACCAGAGAAGAGAGGCCGUGGACUCUCAUAAUUGCUCCAGUGGAUUCCAUGAGGAAGUUUGUCCAUGAGGCACUCGAGAUGUCUCACCUGCGGACACCACCAAUGGCCCAAGGCCACUGCAAAUGCAUUUCAUGCUUCUCCCACCGCCUGGAUGAAAGAAGGAUAGAAAAAAGGCACACAAACUGGAGCAUCUCAAAGCACUGCUCUAAUAGGUAAUAGAAAAAUAGGUAAGUGUCCAUUGACAGAUAAAUAGAUUAAGAAAAUGUGGUGUGUAUACAUACACAAUUCCAUUGUAUAUUUACACAAUGGCAUAUUAUUCAGCCAAAAAAGGAAGAAAAUCCUGUCAUUUGUGACAACGUGGAUGAAUAUGGACAAUAUUAUACUCUAUCAUAUUGUACUAUAUUAUAAUAAGAGAAAUAAGCCAGACACUGAAAGACAAAUACUGAAUAA